CGUACACUCAAUGGCACUAGAUGAAUUCACGGUCCUUUUUGCUGUUCCGUGUAUUCACCAGUUCCAUAGAGUUGCGUUG
rnacentral:pre_miRNA from 1 species